rnacentral:tRNA from 1 species
UCUCAGUUAGUAUAGUGGUUAGUAUCUCCGCCUGUCACCGAGCAGACCGCGGAAGACCCGGGUUCGAUUCCCGGACUGAGAG